CAAAUUUACAUGGAUCAUAUCUAAAUGUACCUGCUUGAUGAAUUACAUAAGCGUAAACAUUAUAUGUAAUAUCUCCUCUGUAAUUACCAUUCGACAGGAUCAGACAAACUUCAAACCAAAUCUGUGUAUCUUUCGAAGAAUUUGACAAAAGAAAUAAAUCAACCUAAAAACUAGACUUUAUGUUUUACCAGUAAUAUAAUGUAUGUUAAUCUUCAGAUGCUUUUCAUCGUUUUAUUGCAACAAUGUUGUUCUGUCUUAGUAAUGUAUAAAACUACAGAUGGAAAACACAACCUUUACUGUAACAUCAGUCCCCGAGGGUGACAUCAGCUCAGAAGUAUCUGAUUUUGUCCGUUUAUUU
rnacentral:lncRNA from 1 species